rnacentral:lncRNA from 1 species
CCUGCAGGAACCCGCCCUUCCCCCCCAACCCCGCGCUGGCCGCUGAGCCUCGGGACCUGAGCCUGGAGAACUCGGCCCCAGGGCGCCGCCUAGAGGUCGGUCGCGGCCUCGGCCUUACUCCCCGGCGACCACAGAGCUGCCUGCGCCAGCUGCCGCCAGAAAUUACAAACAAAACAAAACAAAACUAAUUCCAAGCUUGGCCCGGAGGCUAGGCUUUUGGCACCUCUGACUUUUCCGAAACGGCCUCCCCUCUGCCCUAUAAGAAAGGACCUGUGUUCUGCGCUGCCUCUUAUGAUCUAAGCUGUCCAGCCCCCUCCAGUGGUGCUAGAACUGCUUUCUCUUCAAGGAAGAAGAGAAGCCAGAAGUCCCUGAAUCUUGCAGCUUGGCCAUCGAUUUUCUGACUAAUUUGGAGAUGGACGUGUUUUUGGAAGAGUAUUUGGAAAACCUUUUGGGGUGAAAAGAAGUUCCUCCGUGGCCUCUGCUCGCUGAGUAACCGAGCUCAGUGAUGCAUGAACACUGCUCUGGAAUUUGAAAGUUGGCUGCUCUGGGGCCAGCCAGGAGGGGAUGUAAACCGUUUGAAGUUCAUCAACACGGUGAAGUUUUAUUGGAUUUCCGGUCCCCAAGAUUUAUACCCAAGAGGGGGAGUGGGCGGCCAGGCAGACUCCCUCCUUACCUCGGGGUUUCCCUGCCGGACACGUGGCCGCUCAGACUGUCGCCUCUGGGACAAGGCAGGAGGGGGCCAGGGUGACCUGGAUGGACUGGCUCGAGCAAUGCACCUGGUAACUGGUAACGGCGGAGUCGCGGUCCCCACUCCCUCAGGUGAGGUGCUGUCUGUGGAGCUCGGGUAUGUGGUGUCUGCACACGGUGAGGCACGGGGGGGGGGGGACACGGGUGGCAGGGGAGAGGGCCCAGUCUGUA